rnacentral:lncRNA from 1 species
ACUAACUGUGAAAAUGCAAGUGAAAAGUCCUGCUCUGGUGUGUUACAGGUGCUGCUUCUAGAAAACCCCUUUAUUAGAAAGCAGCAUGAAACCAGCGUUGGGAUAUAAGAGGAUGUGCUUUGUUAAAAGAAAACCUCUUUCUAAUACUCCCAACCAAAGGGCCAGAGGUCUUGUCUAACUAAAUGCCACCUUUCUGUGAUUCUUGGAGCUUCAUCUUCAAAGACUGAGAGGAUCCUCCUUCAUCUGAAACCUCUCAGAAAGGGAAAGGUUGGUCGUGACUUGUCCCCUCAACAAGGAACUUCAGGCACUGCCAACUGUGUUCAGUAACCCUUCUCUGACAGGUGAAUACGUGAGGGGUCCUGGAACUAUUAUGCCAAUUCUCCAUGUUGGUGGGUUGCCAACGUUUACUUGUCUUAUUGAGAAAGGAAAGAAUGAGCAAAGAAAUCUUUCCUUUUCUUUCCAGGAUGCUCUCCAGAAAAAUUCCUGCUAGCUUGACUCAGAAGAAGAGCAGCCUGUGCAUGAGCCUGUUCCCCUUGAGAAUUUCCUCUUCCUUCAUUAGUGUCUUGCGAUGGCCACAUUCUCCAUUUCUGUGACUUCCUACCAGCUUUUCAAAUGCUUAACUACAAACUAAAGUUAUUCUGGCAUUGGCAAUGUGAUCUCAGGAUUCCCACAACUAGCUUUCCUCAAGAUGAAUAUUGGGACGAGUUUGGCAGCAGACUGUAUGAUAAGGAGCACUGGAAUGGGAGUCAGAAAGCAUUGUGAACCCUACAGGGCAAGUGACUUCACCUCUCUUAAUCUCAUUGUCAUCAACUGUAAGUGAGAGUGAAUGAAGGAUGCUCCCAACUGUCAAACCCUGUAAGUUAAGAAAACCUGUGCUCCAGAGGAGAACAUGAACAUUGGCAAAAAGGUAUUUAUACAUCCUUCACCAUAUUUUUGUAGAUGAGUCUGAAAGAAUUUUGAAUUCACCUAGCAAUUGCACUAUCCUGAUUUCAUAUGGAAAACACAGUUUCAAGAAGUUAACCACAAGGCUUGCACACUGGCUGGCUUCCAGCCUUCUCCUCACAGAGUAGAUUAACUAAUCCAGACAAUUACUGUCAAACAAAGGAGCAGGUUGGAAAUUCUUGGAGGAUUUUUUUUUUUUUUUGUACAGCUUAUAUAGUUAAAUUGAGAGACCUCAAGUGGAAUUGUUUUCAUGAAUAAUUUAAGUAACUAUUCUAUUUAUCUAGUGCUUGUCGGGUAAAAAUUUACAAAAAUUAUGAAAGUUGGAUCAACUGACCAAUUUGAAGGACAAACAUGAUUCCAGCUUUCUUUUACUUUAUUUUUUCCCCUAGGACCACAGCAAUUAGAAUAAUUUUAUCAUGAGUUUGAGCAAAUAAGUCAUCCAAUCCCAAACUGAAAGUAAUUGAAAAGUAAACCAUCACAACAUCCCACCUCAAACAGGUGUAUUGGGAAGCAGUGUGUGUAUAUAGCACAUCUUAUAAAAUGAAAUAGGCA